rnacentral:lncRNA from 1 species
GUGAUUGUAUCAUACUUGUAUUUUAUCAUUUCACUAACCAACAUAUCAAAAAUAUUUCUUUGUAUUUACCUAACGUUUUUGUAGGAAGGGCGUGAUCCCAUUGAUUCAUCAAGUUCACAUCUAGGGUUUGAGACCCUCAUGAACAAAGAGCACAGCCAUGGAUUGAUUCAAGAAUGGUUACAAGCAUAAUAUAUGAGUCCCAAUGU